UUGAGAGUUUGAUCCUGGCUCAGGACGAACGCUGGCGGCAUGCCUAACACAUGCAAGUCGAACGGAAUAGGAUUGGUUGUAGCGAUACUUUCGAUCCUAUUUAGUGGCGAACGGGUGAGUAACACGUGAGCAACCUGCCUUUUACACAGGGAUAACAGCCGGAAACGGCUGCUAAUACCGGAUAAGACCACACCGAGGCAUCUCGGAGGGGUCAAAGCGAUUUAGCGGUAAAAGAUGGGCUCGCGUCCCAUUAGCUAGUUGGUGAGAUAACAGCCCACCAAGGCGACGAUGGGUAGCCGACUUGAGAGAGUGAUCGGCCACAUUGGAACUGAGACACGGUCCAGACUCCUUCGGGAGGCAGCAGUGGGGAAUAUUGGGCAAUGGAGGAAACUCUUACCCAGCAAUGCCGCGUGAAUGAAGAAGGCCUUCGGGUUGUAAAGUUCUUUUAUUGAUGAUAAAGAAAGUGAUAUUAGUCAAUGAAUAAGCCCCGGCUAACUAUGUGCCAGCAGCCGCGGUAAUACAUAGGGGGCGAGCGUUGUCCGGAAUGACUGGGCGUAAAGGGUGUGUAGGCGGUUAUGCAAGUUAAAAGUGAAAUCCCCGGGCUUAACUCGGGUGCUGCUUUUAAGACUGUAUGACUUGAGUGCAGUAGAGAAAAGUGGAAUUCCUAGUGUAGCGGUGGAAUGCGUAGAUAUUAGGAGGAACACCAGAGGCGAAGGCGACUUUUUGGACUGUAACUGACGCUGAGGCACGAAAGUGUGGGGAGCAAACAGGAUUAGAUACCCUGGUAGUCCACACUGUAAACGAUGGAUACUAGGUGUAGGGGGUAUAGACUCCCUCUGCGCUGUCGCAAACGCAAUAAGUAUCCCGCCUGGGGAGUACGACCGCAAGGUUGAAACUCAAAGGAAUUGACGGGGACCCGCACAAGCAGCGGAGCAUGUGGUUUAAUUCGAAGCAACGCGAAAAACCUUACCAAGACUUGACAUCGUACGAAAUCCAUGGAAACAUGGCCCUUCGUAGCAAUACGAACGUAUAGACAGGUGGUGCAUGGUUGUCGUCAGCUCGUGUCGUGAGAUGUUGGGUUAAGUCCCGCAACGAGCGCAACCCUUAUAACCAGUUGCCAAUAUUAAGUUAGGAACUCUGGUUAGACUGCCGUGGAUAACACGGAGGAAGGUGGGGAUGACGUCAAAUCAUCAUGCCCCUUACGUCUUGGGCUACACACGUGCUACAAUGGCUACUACAAAGAGCAGCGAAACGGUAACGUCGAGCGAAUCUCAAAAAGGUAGUCUCAGUUCAGAUUGUGGGCUGCAACCCGCCCACAUGAAGUAGGAGUUGCUAGUAAUCCCGAAUCAGCAUGUCGGGGUGAAUGCGUUCCCGGGUCUUGUACACACCGCCCGUCACGCCAUGGGAGUUGGUAGUACCCAAAGUCGGUGCAGUAACCGCAAGGAGCGAGCCGCCUAAGGUAAGACCAGCGACUGGGGUGAAGUCGUAACAAGGUAGCCGUAUCGGAAGGUGCGGCUGGAUCACCUCCUU
rnacentral:rRNA from 1 species